UACGUAGGGUGCGAGCGUUAAUCGGAAUUACUGGGCGUAAAGCGUGCGCAGGCGGCUUUGCAAGACAGGCGUGAAAUCCCCGGGCUCAACCUGGGAAUGGCGCUUGUGACUGCAAAGCUGGAGUGCGGCAGAGGGGGAUGGAAUUCCGCGUGUAGCAGUGAAAUGCGUAGAUAUGCGGAGGAACACCAAUGGCGAAGGCAAUCCCCUGGGCCUGUACUGACGCUCAUGCACGAAAGCGUGGGGAGCAAACAGG
rnacentral:rRNA from 1 species